UGCGCUUCGCCUUGUCCGUGACUUCGGCAUAAAGCGGGAGAGCCAACACCUUUUCUACGGGAGCCUCAUCAUUCCUCGGCGGAAAGGUAUCCCUUCGGGGAAGCUGGAAGUCGAUGGUGCGGGCACCCACCUGCUGAGGCAGGUUCACCGUGUCGGGGCACGGCAAGGCGGGGCCGCC
rnacentral:other from 1 species